UCACUUACCUGGACGGGGUCAAUGGGUGAUCAAGAAGGUCCAUGGCCUAGGUUGGUGACCUCUAUUGCACUUCGGAGGGGUGCCCGCCUAAGGUCGGCCCAAGUGGUCGAGCCUACGUCAUAAUUUGUGGCAGUGGGGGUUUGCGUUCGCGCAGCCCCUG
rnacentral:snRNA from 1 species